rnacentral:rRNA from 1 species
ACGGGUGAGCAACGCGUGAGAAUCUACCACUCAGUGAGGAAUACCUCCGAGAAAUCGGGGUUAAUACUGCAUACGUCCCUGCGGGGAGAAAGAUGGCCUCUUUGCUGUCGCUGAUUGAUGAGCUUGCGUACUAUUAGCUUGUUGGUGAGGUAAAGGCUCACCAAGGCGAUGAUGGUUAACCGGCCUGAGAGGGUGUACGGUCACAUUGGAACUGAGACACGGUCCAGACUCCUACGGGAGGCAGCAGUGGGGAAUAUUGCGCAAUGGGCGAAAGCCUGACGCAGCGACGCCGCGUGGAGGAUGAAGGUCUUCGGAUUGUAAACUUCUGUUAAGUGGGAAAAAAGCCUUGCUCCUAAUACGAGCGAGGGAUGAUGGUACCACUAGAGAAAGCACCGGCUAAUCUCGUGCCAGCAGCCGCGGUAAUACGAGAGGUGCAAGCGUUAUUCGGAAUCAUUGGGCGUAAAGGGUGCGUAGACGGUGCGUUAAGUCUGUUGUUAAAUACCUCGGCUCAACCGAGGACAUGCAGCGGAUACUGGCGUGCUAGAGGGUGGAAGAGAGAAGUGGAAUUCUUGGAGUAGCGGUAAAAUG